CGGCGCGCGAGAAAAGCAAUAAAGAAGUGUGACGUGGCCUCUUUGUCAGCGGAGGCUACUUGUCAAACGUUUUAGGCCUGCAUCAGUUCAUUUUUCAAGGUCAGCGGGAAGCAAAGAGUUCAUUGUUCCCUUCUUUUAGUCAAAGCAACAGAAUCUUAUCUGCUACUGCAGUCAUUGUGUGAGGGGAUGAGAGCGAGAGGAAGAGAAAAAAGAUGUGAGAGAGCAAGACGAGCAGGAAGGAGCACAGAAUAUCUCUAUUAAGGUAAAAGCUAUCACUCAGUAUGAAAUAUCUCAUGUGUUAAGUUAAUGAUUCUCUCUUUUUUUUUUUUUUAGAAAUGUUUCUAUUGCUUCAUUAGCAUGCCAGAAAUGUUGUAUUUGUGUUAUCAAAAAGUUGACUGGAGACUGUAUUAUUAAAAAGGAAAACAAUCAUGAAGUUUAAUGAAAUGUAAUCUUGUUUCAUUUGUGGCACUAGAUGCUGAUGCUGAUUAUAUUGCUGCAUUUUAUAAUCAAAUUCAUUUAAUAAAUAAUCGAUACUUUAAGGAAAAAUACUUUUAUUUGAUAUUUUGUCAUGCAUUUCAAUCACAUAUAAAAUAUGUAAGUUCAAGAAAAGCUUUUAUAAGUAAUAUCUAUGUAUUAGUGACUUCAUUUUUAUAGCCAUAAGGUUUCUUGCAGUUAUCCAAAGUGUAUUUUUGUUUAUUAUUAAAUGAUUAAUUGAUUGAUUCCCCGUUCAUACAUUUCCUCCAUGACAGGUUAUGUUUGACAAGCAGUCAGAGUAACUCAGCAGACACGUGCUUUCUAAUGGCAAGUGAAGGCACAAGAAUUUGAAGGACACC